AGGGCCUACCAUUAUUCUACAUAGUGUUGAUUUCUGCUGCUGGAUCUCUGUUGAUUGUAGCUGCAGUCGUGAUGUGCUGCAUCUGCAAGAAAUGUAGAAAAACAGUCCAGACCCAGGAAGAAGACAGAACUGGUUCAGCAUUGUGUAAACCAACAACUCGAAAAACGAAAUCAAAGUCGGAUGCUGUGUAUGAAAAUGUCCCCAAAAAACGAUGAUCAAAUAGGUAUCUACCAGAAUGGAUGCUAGUGCUCACACAGGACCCUGACUCACACCUGUUUGUGUUCACAGUUAUUCU